AACAACUAACGCUGGGUGCUGUUGCCUCUCCGUGGCCCUGCAGGAAAUCCGCAAGCGCCUCAGGACGUGGGAUGUGGGCUACUUCUGGAACGACUUGUACUUGAGGGAGGUGUACAUCAAGCAAAUUAAGCAGCAGUGCUUGAAGGGCAAGCCUCAUCCCUGGAAAGGAGAGACCACUGCGGAAGACGCUGCUCUGGACGUGCAGGAUCUGUUCCUGGAGGAAAGGCAAAGGCUGGAGAGCAUUGAAGAGAUGCGGAACCGCUACAAUUUGGGCCCUCCGGUGCCCAGGGUUCCCCAUCCUCCAGACGAGCCCGGGAGACAGGAGCCGGAGGUGCAGGGCGAGCAACUGGCCUCUCGAGCGAGGAGAGUGUCAGUCCUGCUGCGGAGAGCCCAGCAAGAGUAAGCACGCCCAGCUGCGGGCGGGCAAAGGCCUCGCACGCGCCAGCGCCCAGAGCCCCACACGCGGCACCUCCUCUUUCCCGCUCCCUCAGCUCUGGCGUUGGGGCGGCAUCCCCUCGCUUCUGGGCGACUCCCAAGCACCCGGCCGACACCUUCCCUCCGGCCCUCUCGCUGCUGCCCAAACGUGAAGGCCCAAAGCCCUCCGCGGGCACAAGGGGCUCCGGGUACCCAAGCGACCACCGGGGCUCCGGCUGCGGGACGGCAGCGGCAGCAGGCUUGGCAGUCUGGCGCCUGAGUCGCCCACCGCUGCCGUCCCCACGGGAGGUGCUGGGCACGCCGGAGGAGAUGGGAAGCUGCGAGGUGGCAUCAUCAGGACCGGCCUGAGCACGGCCGGCACGAUUCCUCUGAUUCUCUGCUCACGCUCAGCCCCUUCCCGUCGAACUCUGCAGCCCUCAGGAGACACCUCGCCUCCUGGAAAAGAGGGACAGCUACCGCUGAUCACCCGCCGCGCUCCUACGCUCUGCAGCUUCUUCACUCCCAUUAAACCGUGUUUCCACAUACUGUGACACUUUGUUGGAGGGGCUGUGGGGCGGGCAAUUUGCAGCGUGGGUGCUUUGGAGGGGAAUUAAAGGGCAGCUCAGGAGACGGGGACGGAGCACCCACUUUGUGCACACAUCCAGACAGCUCUGCACGCCCAGGUGCCCACACUCGUGCGUG
rnacentral:lncRNA from 1 species